UGAAAAACAGAACGUAUAGCUUUCCACCACAGUAAAACGCCAUUAGACUAUCGCCUGUACUUGAUAUUACAAAUGAUAUUAUGGCUCAGUCUAACUCUAUUUAAGCUUCAUAAUUAGUUAUAUUACUGUAAUGUGACUAUGCCAGUUCUCCCCAGAAGUACAUUUCCCUUUUCUUUCACACUGAAGAUUUAGUAGAAUGGAAUCCUUGUGUUAUGUGCACAUUAGCGGCAGAGGAUUUUUCUCUCCUCCAGCUUCACAUUAUACAGUGUAGCAUAAUAAUUUUGAGGUGGAUGAUAAUACUAAAUAAGGAGAGAAGGUGACAAAUGAUUGAAAAGAAAGACAAUAGAGGGUAGGAUAUGGAUAAAUGAUAGAU
rnacentral:lncRNA from 1 species